GUGCGCUGUGGUGAUCUUUCAGAGACUGUACCGACUGGAAUUUAGCGACCACUGUCCGUUUUAGAGACCGUACGGUCGGCGGCGGGCGUCCCGAUCCUCGCCUGGGGCGGAGAGGGGAGCGCGCGUCCCCCUCCGCCGCAUUCCGUCCGUCCCAUUCACUGCCCGCUCGCGAUGUGCGGAGAGCCGACGGAAGUGUCGAGUGUGUGCCGUGCGGUGUCACCUGCCGUCUCCUCUUCCGACCUGAAGGAACGCAGGAUGCGAGGAUCGUCGGGCGACACCACCACUCGAGAUUCGUAGAUCGAUGGACGGAGCGGCAGCCGCGACGCGACGAAGUGUGUCGUAAUGUGACGGGAUGUGACCCGGAAAUGGGUGUGUAUUUAUCCCAGAAAUACAUUUAUUCCGAA